AUACCAUUGGUCAGCUGGGCCGGUGACCCAAAAGGAAAACAAGGCCCGGACUUCCUGUGAGGCUCCCGCUCAAACUAUUCGCGCGGCUGCUGUACCGGAAAAAGAGGACGACGACGCUCGCAUGUGCGUCAAGCAAGGCACCAAUGUCCCAAGAGAUUCCGAAUGAGGGGGACCGGCCCCAGUCCCCCUCGCAGGCCCGGUCCACUCUGUCCCCGUCGCAGGCCCAGUCCAAGUCCCAGGGCGGCUCCAGUUCCUCCAGUGGCCCCACGUCAGGCAGCCAGUCGUCAAGUGGCUCGGGGACGCUGAGUAGCGUGGACACGCUUCCCGUCACCUUGCCGUCCGUCCCCGAGGAGCCCGAAAGUCAACCUUGGGGACGCCUGCUGCCCAUGCAGAACGGCUUCCGCGCUCACGAUUGCGUGGAGGACGAGUAUUUGUUUGGCCGAGACUCCAAAUGUAAUUACGUCCUGGACGAUCCCGAUCACAAAGGAUCCUUACGAUUUAGAAUUUACAGCAAGAAACACUUCAGGAUCUACAGGGAGGGCACCGAGGUGUUUGUUCAGGACCUGAGUAACAACGGGACCUUCGUUGACGGGAACAAAAUCGGACGCAACAAGAAACUUCCUCUGGUCAACAACGCAGUGCUGGCGCUGUCGGAGCAUCGCAACAAAGUGUUCGUCUUCAUCGACCUGAUGUCUGACCAAGAGUCCACCUUGCCCGGGGAGCUUCGUGACAAAUAUCUGCUGACUCGACGGAUCGGGACAGGGGUGUGCGGCGAGGUCAAGCUGGCGUUCGAACGCGCCACGUGUAAGAAGUUUGCGGUGAAAAUCAUCAACAAGAGCAACUUCAAGUCUGAAGGAGCGAGUAUUAGCCGCGACGGCCACGAGAAACGCCCAAACGGAGAUAGAAAUCCUUCAACGCAUCGAUCAUCCGUGCCUCAUCAAGACAGAGGACUUCUACCAGACGGACGACACCUUCUUCAUCGUGCUGGAGUUGAUGGAGGGCGGCGAGCUCUUCAACCGCCUCAAAACGCAACAGCGACUGAGCGAGGCCACGGCCAAGCUGUACUUCUACCAAAUGUUGAAAGCCGUGCAGUACCUGCACAGCCAGGGUAUCAUCCACCGGGACCUGAAACCGGAGAACAUCCUCCUGUCGUCGCAGGAGGACGAUUGCCUCAUCAAGGUGACAGACUUCAACCAGUCGCGGAUCCUGGAGGAGGCGGCCUUGAUGAGGACGCUGUGCGGGACGCCAUCCUACCUGGCGCCCGAAGUUUUGACGCACGCCACCACCGGCGGAUACGGGCUGCCCGUCGAUGCCUGGAGCCUCGGCGUGCUCCUCUUCGUCUGCCUGUGUGGGUACCCGCCGUUCCACGAGAACUUCUCGGAGCUGUCAGUGAGCGAGCAGAUCAUGCAAGGCCGCUUCACGAUGGUGCCGUCCAAGUGGCGCCACGUGUCCGACCAGGCCAAGGACGUGGUGAGGAAGCUUCUGGUGGUGACGCCGGCUAACAGGAUGAGCAUCGAUGAGGCGCUCCAGCACGCUUGGAUGCAGGACCCCGUAAUGUUGGAGAAAGCCCAUCGACUGAUGUACCCAUCUUCUGAUGCUGAGGAUGUUGCCAUGGAAGCGGGGCAAGCGCCGUCGUCGUCAAGGAAACGACUGCGAGAAAACCCGGAUGAUGAGGGACGUCCUGCCAAACAAGCCACGCCCACUGGCAUGCAAUAAGGCACAUGUAAAUGUUUUUCAAUAAAGUCAGGUUUGUUUUUU